AACGGGUGAGUAAUACAUCGGAACGUGCCAGUUGUGGGGGAGUAGCCCGGCGAAAGCCGGAUUAAUACCGCAUACGACCUACGGGUGAAAGCGGGGGAUCGCAAGACCUCGCGCAAUUGGAGCGGCCGAUGUCAGAUUAGCUAGUUGGUGGGGUAAAAGCCUACCAAGGCGACGAUCUGUAGCUGGUCUGAGAGGACGACCAGCCACACUGGGACUGAGACACGGCCCAG
rnacentral:rRNA from 1 species